UAAAAGUCAGGUCGGAUUAAGCCA
rnacentral:lncRNA from 1 species